GAUGAAGAACGUAGCGAAAUGCGAUAAGUAAUGUGAAUUGCAGAAUUCAGUGAAUCAUCGAAUCUUUGAACGCACAUUGCGCCCGCCAGUAUUCUGGCGGGCAUGCCUGUUCGAGCGUCAUUACAACCCUCAGGCCCCCGGGCCUGGCGUUGGGGAUCGGCGGAGCCCCCCGUGGGCACACGCCGUCCCCCAAAUACAGUGGCGGUCCCGCCGCAGCUUCCAUCGCGUAGUAGCUAACACCUCGCGACUGGAGAGCGGCGCGGCCACGCCGUAAAACACCCAACUUCUGAACGUUUGACCUCGGAUCAGGUAGGAAUACCCGCUGAACUUAAGCAUAUCAAUAAGCGGAGGA
rnacentral:misc_RNA from 1 species